UCCCUGGUGGUCCAGUGGUUAAGACUCUGUGUUUCUAUUGCAGUGGGUGCAGGUUUGAUCCCUGUUCAGGGAA